GGCUCGGUGGUGGAUGGUCCAUGCCUGCUCUCCAUGAAAGGAGUGAAGACGGUGCAUAGCAAGAGGAGUCUGUUCGAAUCAGGCCUGAGCCA